rnacentral:rRNA from 1 species
CCUACGGGCGGCUGCAGUGGGGAAUAUUGGACAAUGGGCGAAAGCCUGAUCCAGCCAUGCCGCGUGUGUGAAGAAGGCCUUCGGGUUGUAAAGCACUUUCAGUGGGGAAGAAAGCCUUGGGGCUAAUACCCUCGAGGAAGGACAUCACCCACAGAAGAAGCACCGGCUAACUCCGUGCCAGCAGCCGCGGUAAUACGGAGGGUGCGAGCGUUAAUCGGAAUUACUGGGCGUAAAGCGCGCGUAGGCGGUCUGAUAAGCCGGUUGUGAAAGCCCCGGGCUCAACCUGGGAACGGCAUCCGGAACUGUCAGGCUAGAGUGCAGGAGAGGAAGGUAGAAUUCCCGGUGUAGCGGUGAAAUGCGUAGAGAUCGGGAGGAAUACCAGUGGCGAAGGCGGCCUUCUGGACUGACACUGACGCUGAGGUGCGAAAGCGUGGGUAGCAAUCAGGAUUAGAUACCCGGGUAGUC